rnacentral:lncRNA from 13 species
AUGUACAUUUAUUGCUAUUUUUUCUUUCCAAGUCUCUCUUUAAAUACUGACUCAGCUAAACAUCGUCUUGGUUGCUCAUGUAAACAAUGCAAAGACAGAGGGCUUUCUUUGACACAGAGUGGGGCGUGGCAGUUUAUAUCCAGUUUGUUAAUUAAGUGUACACCUUCAGCAGAGGCGCGCCAACCCAAUGAAUCACAAGGGACAUAUGCCCCUUCUAUUUGAGCAAAACUUAAUGUGAACAGAAAAGUUGAUGUCAAAGAAAGGCAUAUCUUACUUGGUAUAUUGUGUUUGUGUAAAAAGGCCUGUAGGAUAUAAAAUAUUGUUGUAAAGAUUGUAAACACAGAAUGAAUUUAUAUUUCAAGAAAGUCAGUACUGAAUAUGGUUUAUAAAGGCUUCCUUAAUAAAUUCCCCUCGAACCUUGAGCUAAGAACGACUGACAAGUGCAGAACCUUUUUUCUUGGCACCUCUGCUCUGUGAUCUUGAGUAUUUUGUUCUAUCAAUAAUGUGUUAUUCAGCUCAAACUGUAGGCCAGAGUUCUUAAAGAACCACAUUAUAACUAGCCAGGGGGUUGAAUAGACUAUCCUAAUAAUCAUCUCCCUUCAGUGCUGUCAUGUCAUGACUGUUGUAUUAUGUACUGUUUUUCCUCUUCAUGCCAUACAAUGGUAUGAUUACCAUGCGGUCAGUCAGAUCGUAGAUAAGUUAGUAUUGUUUUGGAUGCUACAAGUCAUAAAUCUGACCUGUUUGGCAAAGAAUCAUUCCGUAUUCAUUUUUUUAAGGCUUUGGUAAGGCCACUUUUUCUGGGAUAUCCUAACUUGGAUCACUAAUAUAAAAUAGAUUUUGCUAUUUGUUUAACACAUUUUUGGUUACUACAUGAUUCCAUAUGUGUUAUUUCAUAGUUUUGAUGUCUUCACUAAUAUUCUAUAAUGUAUUAAAUAGUAUGUAAUAAAGGAAAACCCUUGAAUGAGUAGGUGUUCUAAAACUUUUGACCGGUAGUGUAUGUCUCCAUAAUAAUUUUGAAUUGAAAUGCCAAGUAUAUGUCAAAGAUCCUUCCUCCAAAAGACAUAUUUGUACUGAAGAAAAAUA